CCUACGGGAGGCUGCAGUGAGGAAUAUUGGUCAAUGGACGAGAGUCUGAACCAGCCAAGUAGCGUGAAGGAUGACUGCCCUAUGGGUUGUAAACUUCUUUUAUAAAGGAAUAAAACGAGGCACGUGUGCCUUUUUGCAUGUACUUUAUGAAUAAGGAUCGGCUAACUCCGUGCCAGCAGCCGCGGUAAUACGGAGGAUCCGAGCGUUAUCCGGAUUUAUUGGGGUUAAAGGGAGCGUAGAUGGGUUGUUAAGUCAGUUGUGAAAGUUUGCGGCUCAACCGUAAAAUUGCAAUUGAUACUGGAAGUCUUGAGUACAGUUGAGGCAGGCGGAAUUCGUGGUGUAGCGGUGAAAUGCUUAGAUAUCACGAAGAACCCCGAUUGCGAAGGCAGCUUACUAAACUGUGACUGACACUGAUGCUCGAAAGUGUGGGUAUCAAACAGGAUUAGAUACCCGUGUAGUC
rnacentral:rRNA from 1 species